GAUGAACGCUGGCGGCGUGCCUAAUACAUGCAAGUCGAGCGAACGGACGAGAAGCUUGCUUCUCUGAUGUUAGCGGCGGACGGGUGAGUAACACGUGGAUAACCGACAUAUAAGACUGGGAUAACUUAGGGAAACCGGAGCUAAUACCGGAUAUUAUUUUGAACCGCAUGGUUCAAAAGUGAAAGACGGUCUUGCUGUCACUUAUAGAUGGAUCCGCGCUGCAUUAGCUAGUUGGUAAGGUAACGGCUUACCAAGGCAACGAUGCAUAGCCGACCUGAGAGGAUGAUCAGCCACACUGGAACUGAGACACGGUCCAGACUCCUACGGGAGGCAGCAGUAGGGAAUCUUCCGCAAUGGGCGAAAGCCUGACGGAGCAACGCCGCGUGAGUGAUGAAGGUCUUCGGAUCGUAAAACUCUGUUAUUAGGGAAGAACAUAUGUGUAAGUAACUGUGCACAUCUUGACGGUACCUAAUCAGAAAGCCACGGCUAACUACGUG
rnacentral:rRNA from 1 species